rnacentral:rRNA from 1 species
GAUGAACGCUGGCGGCGUGCCUAAUACAUGCAAGUCGAGCGAACAGACGAGGAGCUUGCUCCUCUGACGUUAGCGGCGGACGGGUGAGUAACACGUGGAUAACCUACCUAUAAGACUGGGAUAACUUCGGGAAACCGGAGCUAAUACCGGAUAAUAUAUUGAACCGCAUGGUUCAAUAGUGAAAGACGGUUUUGCUGUCACUUAUAGAUGGAUCCGCGCCGCAUUAGCUAGUUGGUAAGGUAACGGCUUACCAAGGCGACGAUGCGUAGCCGACCUGAGAGGGUGAUCGGCCACACUAGAACUGAGACACGGUCCAGACUCCUACGGGAGGCAGCAGUAGGGAAUCUUCCGCAAUGGGCGAAAGCUUGACGGAGCAACGCCGCGUGAGUGAUGAAGGUCUUCGGAUCGUAAAACUCUGUUAUUAGGGAAGAACAAAUGUGUAAGUAACUAUGCACGUCUUGACGGUACCUAAUCAGAAAGCCACGGCUAACUACGUG